AUGGCACAUGAGAUGACAGACAGAAAGGGCACACAUGAUGAUGAUGCUUCGACCACAAACAAGUCGGUCAUGAAGUUGCCGAUGCUCGGAACGUUGCUAGAGAUGAAAUCACCAAUGUUGGCAUUGUUCACCACUGCAUCAUCUACUAGUCAGUCAGCAAACACACCUCACAAGGUUCAGAGACUCGUAUAUGUGCGGUCUUCCACGGAGCCCAAGAUCUUGAAAGAGUCUACAGGAAUGAUGACACAACUUGGUCGUCGCAGCUCGGCAUCGAAGGCGUCGACAGGUACAGGUGGUAGCAGCACGUCAGUGACACGAGACAAUGUAGCCAGAUCUCUGGCAAACCACCCUGUAAGCAAAAACACAAUCAGACACUCGAAUACAACUGAAUGA
rnacentral:rRNA from 1 species